CCUACGGGCGGCAGCAGUGAGGAAUAUUGGUCAAUGGACGCAAGUCUGAACCAGCCAUGCCGCGUGCAGGAAGACGGCUCUAUGAGUUGUAAACUGCUUUUGUACGAGGGUAAAUCCCGAUACGUGUAUCGGGUUGAAAGUAUCGUACGAAUAAGGAUCGGCUAACUCCGUGCCAGCAGCCGCGGUAAUACGGAGGAUUCAAGCGUUAUCCGGAUUUAUUGGGUUUAAAGGGUGCGUAGGCGGAUUGAUAAGUUAGAGGUGAAAUGUCCGAGCUCAACUCGGGAACUGCCUCUAAUACUGUUGAUCUAGAGAGUAGAUGCGGUAGGCGGAAUGUAUGGUGUAGCGGUGAAAUGCUUAGAGAUCAUACAGAACACCGAUUGCGAAGGCAGCUUACCAAUCUAUAUCUGACGUUGAGGCACGAAAGCGUGGGGAGCAAACAGGAUUAGAUACCCCUGGUAGUC
rnacentral:rRNA from 1 species